UUCCAGACUCCUACGGGAGGCAGCAGUGAGGAAUAUUGGUCAAUGGGCGCGAGCCUGAACCAGCCAAGUCGCGUGAGGGAGUACUGCCCUAUGGGUUGUAAACCUCUUUUGUCGGGGAGCAAAAGCCGGACGUGUCCGUCUGUGAGAGUACCCGAAGAAAAAGCAUCGGCUAACUCCGUGCCAGCAGCCGCGGUAAUACGGAGGAUGCGAGCGUUAUCCGGAUUUAUUGGGUUUAAAGGGUGCGCAGGCGGAUUUUUAAGUCAGCGGUCAAAUCGUGGGGCUCAACCCCAUCCAGCCGUUGAAACUGGUGAUCUAGAGUGUGCGAGAGGUAUGCGGAAUGCGUGGUGUAGCGGUGAAAUGCAUAGAUAUCACGCAGAACCCCGAUUGCGAAGGCAGCAUACCGGUGCACAACUGACGCUCAGGCACGAAAGCGUGGGUAUCGAACAGGAUUAGAUACCCCAGUAA
rnacentral:rRNA from 1 species